CGUAGGAGGCAAGCGUUAUCCGGAGUUACUGGGCGUAAAGCGCGUGUAGGCGGAUUGGUAAGUGGUUCGUGAAAUAUCUGGGCUAAACUCAGAGGGGACGAAUCAGACUGCUAGUCUGGAGGCGGGUAGAGGGGUGCGGAAUUCCGGGUGUAGCGGUGAAAUGUGUAGAUAUCCGGAGGAACACCAGAGGUGCAGACGGCGCCCUGGGCCCGACCUGACGCUGAGACGCGAAAGCUUGGGGAGCGAACGGGAUUAGAGACCCCGGUAGUCCAAGCCAUAAACGAUGUCAACUAGGUGUCCACUUGACUACGGUCAAGGGGGCGCCGAAGCUAACGCGAUAAGUUGACCGCCUGGGGAGUACGGUCGCAAGAUUA
rnacentral:rRNA from 1 species